GUGGCUGUAGCUCAGUUGGUUAGAGCAUCGCGUUGUGGUCGCGAGGGUCGGGGGUUCGAAUCCCCUCAGCCACC
rnacentral:tRNA from 1 species